CCUACGGGAGGCAGCAGUGAGGAAUAUUGGUCAAUGGUCGCGAGCCUGAACCAGCCAAGUCGCGUGAAGGAUGACUGCACUAAGGAUUGUAAACUUCUUUUGUCAAGGAAUAAAGUCAGGCACGUGUCCCUUUUUGUAUGUAUUUUAUGAAUAAGCAUCGGCUAACUCCGUGCCAGCAGCCGCGGUAAUACGGAGGAUCCGAGCGUUAUCCGGAAUGACUGGGCGUAAAGGGUGCGUAGGUGGUUUGGCAAGUUAGUAGCUUAACUCCAAGGCUCAACCUUGGAACUACUACUAAAACUGUUAGUCUUGAGUGCAGGAGGGGUAACCGGAAUUCGUAGUGUAGCGGUGGAAUGCGUAGAUAUUAGGAAGAACACCAGUUGCGAAGGCGGGUUGCUAGACUGUAACUGACACUGAGGCACGAAAGCGUGGGGAGCAAACAGGAUUAGAUACCCGAGUAGUC
rnacentral:rRNA from 1 species